GCAGAUCCCCUCUCCUUAAUACAAAAACUCUCAACCAACUUUUAUCAACACUUAUGGUUUUGAAUCAGAGCCUGAACAGGCUCCUCCCAGACAGCUGCUCUAUGUGAUGUCUGCUGUCACAUCUUCACUUCUUUUUUAAACCUCAGUCAGCUCAGGAGAGGCAUCGUUUGGAUCUCCGUCACCCAAAGUCACAGUCACGUUGACCUCAGUGACCUAAAAAAAACCAAAACUCUGUGAUAUGAAGUUUGUUAUCUAAAUGCUUUUGAGUUUUAUUUUGAAGCCGUCAAAAUGAUCGCUUUUUUCUUUUUCUGUUGCCUGGCAGGUGUGUGUCUGGGUUUCGAGGUCCGUCAGUCUCCCUCUGAGCUCGUCACACAACCUGGUGACACAGUGCAGAUUUUCUGCAGCCAUGAUAAAACUGACCACAGAGUGAUGCUCUGGUACCAGCGGCCACCUGGAGACACAGCUAUGAAACUCAUGGGAUACUUGCACUACAAAGCUGUCAACAUGGAAGAGUCAUACAAAGAUAAUUUCACCAUGUCCGGAGAUCUGGGUGGAGAUGCAAAGAAUGGUUCUCUAAUCAUCCAAGUCACAGAACUGAAGCAGAGUGCAGUUUACUACUGUGCAGCUAGCAAAGCACGCUGA